CAUUUUGGAGGAGGCAUUUGGAGUUGGGACUGCUGUGCCUCUCAGUCAGGGAUUGUCUGUUGUUAUAUUUUGAUCUUUGUUAGCAUUUAUUGUGUCAUCUUGUAACAAAUCUCUUUGUUUUGGCUUUGUUAAGGUGUUUUAAGUAUUUUAAUGGGUCAAUGUGUGGAUUGUUGUUAGCCCCAUAGGGCGGCCUUAUGGCAGGGUGUAACAAUUGGUCCUGAAUGACAGAGAGUGUAAGGCCUUUCUUUAUAAAACUUAAUUACAGGACAAAUUGGUCCAUGUUUACACUGGAUGGAUUCAUACCUCACAGUGACGUAAAUGCGUGCAGUCUGGCCUGCACCUCAAGCACUUGGCUCAGAGACGACGCUCUGCUCCGUCACUGGUCUUUGGGAAGGCGCUGGCAAAGCCAUGGUCUCCUAUCAGGUCUGACUGUGUCGACAGAGAAAGUACCAGCUCUCUUUACAACAACGUAUGGCUCGGAUUCCCAGACGCACAUUCCUGACCAAAACUCAAUCUCCAACAGAUAAAUCAGACGCAGU